rnacentral:rRNA from 1 species
CUACGAAGGGUGCGAGCGUUAAUCGGAAUUACUGGGCGUAAAGCGCGCGUAGGCGGUUGGAUAAGUCGGAUGUGAAAGCCCCGGGCUCAACCUGGGAAUUGCAUUCGAAACUGUCCGGCUAGAGUAUGGUAGAGGGAAGCGGAAUUCCACAUGUAGCGGUGAAAUGCGUAGAUAUGUGGAGGAACACCAGUGGCGAAGGCGGCUUCCUGGACCAAUACUGACGCUGAGGUGCGAAAGCGUGGGGAGCAAACAGAAUUAGAAACCCUAGUAGUCC